rnacentral:rRNA from 1 species
AGCAGCCGCGGUAAUUCCAGCUCCAAUAGCGUAUAUUAAAGUUGUUGCAGUUAAAAAGCUCGUAGUUGAAUUUCGGGAUUGGCGCAUCGGUCGUGCCUCACGGGGUAUGAACUGGUGCAGUCAAUUUCUCACCUUCUGGAGAACCGCGAUGUCCUUAAUUGGGUGCCGCGGGGAACCAGGACCUUUACUUUGAAAAAUUGAGUGUUUAAAGCAGGCAUUUUUGCUUGAAUACAUUAGCAUGGAAUAAUAAAAUAGGACGGCAUGGUUCUAUUUUGUUGGUUUCUAGGACCACCGUAAUGAUUAAUAGGGAUAGUUGGGGGCAUUAGUAUUCAAUUGUCAGAGGUGAAAUUCUUGGAUUUAUUGAAGACUAACUACUGCGAAAGCAUUUGCCAAGGAUGUUUUCAUUAAUCAAGAACGAAAGUUAGGGGAUCGAAGACGAUCAGAUACCGUCGUAGUCUUAACCGUAAACUAUGCCGACUAGGAAUCAGACGAUGUUAAUUUUUAAUGUACUCGUUUGGCA